rnacentral:rRNA from 1 species
CAGCACCUCAAGUGGUCAGGAUGAUUAUUGGGCCUAAAGCAUCCGUAGCCGGCGCUGUAAGUUUUCGGUUAAAUCUGUACGCUCAACGUACAGGCUGCCGGGAAUACUGCAGCGCUAGGGAGUGGGAGAGGUGGACGGUACUCGGUAGGAAGGGGUAAAAUCCUUUGAUCUAUUGAUGACCACCUGUGGCGAAGGCGGUCUAUCAGAACACGUCCGACGGUGAGGGAUGAAAGCUGGGGGAGCAAACCGGAUUAGAUACCCGAGUAGUCC